UUGUUCCUACGGGAGGCAGCAGUGAGGAAUAUUGGUCAAUGGGCGGGAGCCUGAACCAGCCAAGUCGCGUGAGGGAAGACGGUCCUAUGGAUUGUAAACCUCUUUAGGCGGGGAGCAAUGCCGGGCACGCGUGUCCGGAGGGAGAGUACCCGCAGAAUAAGCAUCGGCUAACUCCGUGCCAGCAGCCGCGGUAAUACGGAGGAUGCGAGCGUUAUCCGGAUUUAUUGGGUUUAAAGGGUGCGUAGGCGGGCUUUUAAGUCAGCGGUAAAAAUUCGGGGCUCAACCCCGUCCGGCCGUUGAAACUG
rnacentral:rRNA from 1 species